GGGAAUCACUGGGCGUAAAGCGUGCGUAGGCGGUUGUGUAAGUCUGAAGUGAAAGUCCAAGGCUCAACCUUGGGAUUGCUUUGGAAACUGCAUGACUUGAGUGCUGGAGAGGCAAGGGGAAUUCCACGUGUAGCGGUGAAAUGCGUAGAUAUGUGGAGGAAUACCAGUGGCGAAGGCGCCUUGCUGGACAGUGACUGACGCUGAGGCACGAAAGCGUGGGGAGCAAACAGGAUUAGAUACCCUGGUAGUCCACGCCGUAAACGAUGAGUGCUAGGUGUUGGGGGGACACACCCCAGUGCCGAAGGAAACCCAAUAAGCACUCCGCCUGGGGAGUACGGUCGCAAGACUGAAACUCAAAGGAAUUGACGGGGGCCCGCACAAGCAGUGGAGCAUGUGGUUUAAUUCGAAGCAACGCGAAGAACCUUACCAGGGCUUGACAUCCCUCUGACCGGUGCAGAGAUGUACCUUCCCUUCGGGGCAGAGGAGACAGGUGGUGCAUGGUUGUCGUCAGCUCGUGUCGUGAGAUGUUGGGUUAAGUCCCGCAACGAGCGCAACCCUUGAUCUGUGUUACCAGCACGUAGAGGUGGGGACUCACAGGUGACUGCCGGCGUAAGUCGGAGGAAGGCGGGGAUGACGUCAAAUCAUCAUGCCCUUUAUGUCCUGGGCUACACACGUGCUACAAUGGGCGGUACAACGGGAAGCGAAGCCGCGAGGUGGAGCAAAACCUAAAAAGCCGUUCGUAGUUCGGAUUGCAGGCUGCAACUCGCCUGCAUGAAGCCGGAAUUGCUAGUAAUCGCGGAUCAGCAUGCCGCGGUGAAUCCGUUCCCGGGCCUUGUACACACCGCCCGUCACACCACGAGAGUCGGCAACACCCGAAGUCGGUGAGGUAACCGUUAUGGAGCCAGCCGCCGAA
rnacentral:rRNA from 1 species